AAUUUCUGUAGUUUAAAAAAAAUUUUAAAUUGCAAAUUUAAAAAUAUAUGUUUCAUCAUAUCAGAAAUUU
rnacentral:tRNA from 1 species